GUCUCUUUUCCAGGUUUCACAUGGUAACUGAUGAUCUGGUAUGAAAUUCACAAUCUCCUGAGAAGUCUGAAGUUACUUGGACAGUGGAUUUGGGCCAUAUUCUAAAAGUUGUCAAGUCCACCAGUAGAAUAAACACAAAGUGGGAUGCUUGGACUCCUUCAUCUUUUGGCAUCUCAUAUAGGCAAAGUCAGUGGUGGUGAGCUAGAUUUAUUGUGAGAAGAUCCUGAGAUGGGAGGAGACAGAGCCAAUUAGAAGAGCUGAUCAGCUGGAAUGCUGAGAACCAUUGCUUUGGAGGCCUCCCAUCCACACCAUCAAAUGCACUUUGCUGAGCAAAGGACAACUUGUUUGUUUUGGCCAUGCCUCGUGUGAGCAGAGAUAGUGAAAAGCCAGGGAAUCUAACUGGAUAAAGAACAUCUGCAAAUGAUGUUCUCUUAAUGUGUAUUCUCUCCAAAAAAGUCCUGAUGCUUGGGCUCAACUCUGGUCUUAGCCACACAGACAGCCUUUGUAUAAGUUGAGAGGAAAAAGAAGAUUCAUCACAGAAUGACCUAUAAUAUUUUGUAUUUAUGGUAGUAUUCAACAAGGUAAGCAAUAAGUUAAUGGCCAGUAUUUCACUGUCUAACAACUACAAACAUUUGUAUC